rnacentral:rRNA from 1 species
GGCCGCGAAUUCGCCCUUAGGGUUUGAUCAUGGCUCAGAUUGAACGCUGGCGGCAGGCCUAACACAUGCAAGUCGAGCGGUAACAGGAGAAAGCUUGCUUUCUUGCUGACGAGCGGCGGACGGGUGAGUAAUGUAUGGGGAUCUGCCCGAUAGAGGGGGAUAACUACUGGAAACGGUGGCUAAUACCGCAUAAUGUCUACGGACCAAAGCAGGGGCUCUUCGGACCUUGCACUAUCGGAUGAACCCAUAUGGGAUUAGCUAGUAGGUGGGGUAAAGGCUCACCUAGGCGACGAUCUCU